rnacentral:rRNA from 1 species
UCAGGAUGAACGCUGGCGGCGUGCCUAACACAUGCAAGUCGAACGAAGCAUAUUUAACGGAGAUUCGUCGAAGCUGGAUAUGACUUAGUGGCGGACGGGUGAGUAACGUAUGAGCAACCUGCCUUUCAGAGGGGGACAACAGUUGGAAACGACUGCUAAUACCGCAUAAUGUAUUUGGGUGGCAUCACCUGGAUACCAAAGGAGCAAUCCGCUGAAAGAUGGGCUCAUAUCUGAUUAGCUUGUUGCGGGGUAACGGCCCACCAAGGCGACGAUCAGUAGCCGGACUGAGAGGUUGAACGGCCACAUUGGGACUGAGAUACGGCCCAGACUCCUACGGGAGGCAGCAGUGGGGAAUAUUGGGCAAUGGGCGAAAGCCCUGACCCAGCAACGCCGCGUGAAGGAAGAAGGUCUUCGGAUUGUAAACUUCUUUUAUGAGGGACGAAGGACGUGACGGUACCUCAUGAAUAAGCCACGGCUAACUACGUGCCAGCCGCCGC